CAUUAUUACUUUUGGUACGCGC
rnacentral:ncRNA from 6 species